AGUCGAGGGGCAGCAUGAACUUAGCUUGCUAAGUUUGAUGGCGACCGGCGCACGGGUGAGUAACACGUAUCCAACCUGCCGAUGACUCGGGGAUAGCCUUUCGAAAGAAAGAUUAAUACCCGAUGGCAUAGUUCUUCCGCAUGGUAGAACUAUUAAAGAAUUUCGGUCAUCGAUGGGGAUGCGUUCCAUUAGGUUGUUGGCGGGGUAACGGCCCACCAAGCCUUCGAUGGAUAGGGGUUCUGAGAGGAAGGUCCCCCACAUUGGAACUGAGACACGGUCCAAACUCCUACAGGAGGCAGCAGUGAGGAAUAUUGGUCAAUGGACGAGAGUCUGAACCAGCCAAGUAGCGUGAAGGAUGACUGCCCUAUGGGUUGUAAACUUCUUUUAUACGGGAAUAAAGUGAGGCACGUGUGCCUUUUUGUAUGUACCGUAUGAAUAAGGAUCGGCUAACUCCGUGCCAGCAGCCGCGGUAAUACGGAGGAUCCGAGCGUUAUCCGGAUUUAUUGGGUUUAAAGGGAGCGUAGGCGGACGCUUAAGUCAGUUGUGAAAGUUUGCGGCUCAACCGUAAAAUUGCAGUUGAUACUGGGUGUCUUGAGUACAGUAGAGGCAGGCGGAAUUCGUGGUGUAGCGGUGAAAUGCUUAGAUAUCACGAAGAACUCCGAUUGCGAAGGC
rnacentral:rRNA from 1 species